rnacentral:rRNA from 1 species
UGGGGAAUCUUGCGCAAUGGCCGAAAGGCUGACGCAGCGACGCCGCGUGUGGGAUGAAGCCCUUCGGGGUGUAAACCACUGUUGCCCGGGACGAAUAGCGGAUUUAGAUCCGCCUGACGGUACCGGGUGAGGAAGCACCGGCUAACUCCGUGCCAGCAGCCGCGGUAAUACGGGGGGUGCGAGCGUUGUCCGGAAUCACUGGGCGUAAAGGGCGCGUAGGUGGUGUGAUAAGGCUGUGGUGAAAGCCCGGGGCUCAACCCCGGGUCUGCCGUGGCGACUGUCAGACUGGAGGGCUCGAGAGGCAGACGGAAUUCCGGGUGUAGCGGUGGAAUGCGUAGAGAUCCGGAAGAAGACCGGUGGCGAAGGCGGUCUGCUGGCGAGUACCUGACACUGAUGCGCGACAGCGUGGGGAGCAAACAG